AGAGUUUGAUCCUGGCUCAGGAUGAACGCUAGCUACAGGCUUAACACAUGCAAGUCGAGGGGCAGCGGGAUUGAAGCUUGCUUCAAUUGCCGGCGACCGGCGCACGGGUGAGUAACGCGUAUCCAACCUUCCGUACACUCAGGGAUAGCCUUUCGAAAGAAAGAUUAAUACCUGAUAGUAUCUUAAGCACACAUGUAAUUAAGAUUAAAGAUUUAUCGGUGUACGAUGGGGAUGCGUUCCAUUAGGUAGUAGGCGGGGUAACGGCCCACCUAGCCAACGAUGGAUAGGGGUUCUGAGAGGAAGGUCCCCCACAUUGGAACUGAGACACGGUCCAAACUCCUACGGGAGGCAGCAGUGAGGAAUAUUGGUCAAUGGACGAGAGUCUGAACCAGCCAAGUAGCGUGAAGGAUGAAGGUCCUACGGAUUGUAAACUUCUUUUAUAAGGGAAUAAACCCUCCCACGUGUGGGAGCUUGUAUGUACCUUAUGAAUAAGCAUCGGCUAACUCCGUGCCAGCAGCCGCGGUAAUACGGAGGAUGCGAGCGUUAUCCGGAUUUAUUGGGUUUAAAGGGAGCGCAGACGGGUCGUUAAGUCAGCUGUGAAAGUUUGGGGCUCAACCUUAAAAUUGCAGUUGAUACUGGCGUCCUUGAGUGCGGUUGAGGUGUGCGGAAUUCGUGGUGUAGCGGUGAAAUGCUUAGAUAUCACGAAGAACUCCGAUUGCGAAGGCAGCACACUAAUCCGUAACUGACGUUCAUGCUCGAAAGUGUGGGUAUCAAACAGGAUUAGAUACCCUGGUAGUCCACACGGUAAACGAUGGAUACUCGCUGUUGGCGAUAUACUGUCAGCGGCUUAGCGAAAGCGUUAAGUAUCCCACCUGGGGAGUACGCCGGCAACGGUGAAACUCAAAGGAAUUGACGGGGGCCCG
rnacentral:rRNA from 1 species